rnacentral:lncRNA from 1 species
UUUUUUUUUUUUUAAAUUUAAUUAACUUCUACUCUGUUUUAUGGCAAUGAAUUGGAGUGACUAUAUAAACCUGUGCAUGGCUAGGUUAAGGAAGACGUAAGCUUGCUCCAAGUUCAAUGUUUGGUUUUAUGUUCUCAACUUCGAAAGAUUAGGACUGGUUCGUUAGAAGAACAUAUCUUAUAAGUUUUAACUCUUAUAUAUAUAUCUUAUGCAUGCAUAUAGAUAUAUAUAUAUAUUUAUUUAUUUAUUUUAUCACACAACACAUGCAUGGUGGUAUAUAAGAAUCUUUUUACCGCAUUUACCUCACACUUCUAAUAAUUUGUCCCAUAUCUUCUCAUAUUUC